rnacentral:rRNA from 1 species
UACAGAGGUCUCAAGCGUUUGUUCGGAUUCAUUGGGCGUAAAGGGUGUGUAGGUGGCGCGCUAAGUCGGGUGUGAAAUUUCGGAGCUUAACUCCGAAACUGCAUUCGAUACUGGCGUGCUUGAGGACUGGAGAGGAGACUGGAAUUCAUGGUGUAGCAGUGAAAUGCGUAGAGAUCAUGAGGAAGACCAGUGGCGAAGGCGGCUAUCUGGCGGUGCACUGACGCUGAGGCGCGAAAGCGUGGGGAGCAAACAGG